rnacentral:rRNA from 1 species
CCUCGGGCCGCAGCAGUGAGGAAUAUUGCACAAUGGGGGGAACCCUGAUGCAGCAACGCCGCGUGGAGGAUGACGCAUUUCGGUGUGUAAACUCCUUUUAUAUGUCAAGAAAAUGACGGUAGCAUAUGAAUAAGCACCGGCUAACUCUGUGCCAGCAGCCGCGGUAAUACGGAGGGUGCAAGCGUUACUCGGAAUCACUGGGCGUAAAGGACGCGUAGGCGGGUUGGAAAGUCAGGUGUGAAAUCCUACAGCUUAACUGUAGAACUGCACUUGGAACUUCUAAUCUAGAGUAUGGGAGGGGGAGAUGGAAUUAGUGGUGUAGGGGUAAAAUCCGUAGAUAUCACUAGGAAUACCUAAAGCGAAGGCGAUCUCCUGGAACAUUACUGACGCUAAGGCGUGAAAGCGUGGGGAGCAAACAGGAUUAGAUACCCCGGUAGUC